GCGGGUGUCGCCAAGUGGUAAGGCAGAAGCUUCCCAAGCUUCCACUCGCGGGUUCGAGUCCCGUCACCCGCUCCA
rnacentral:tRNA from 1 species